rnacentral:tRNA from 1 species
GCUGUAGCAGUGUAGGGGUUAUCAUUCUAGCCUUCCAAGCUUGAGACAGGCGUUCGAGUCGCCGCUACAGCA